AUGCAUUGGUAUACUUGGUGGAAACUCUGCUAUCCUAAAAGUGAAGGUGGAAUGGGCUUUCGAGACCUAUAAUCUUUUAAUUUGGCAAUGCUUUCUAAACAAUGUUGGAGACUCCUUACUAACCCAGAAUCAUUGUGUGCAAGAGUGCUAAAGGCAAAAUAUUAUCCUAAUGGAAGCUUACUGCAAGCCACUCUGAAAAAUGGUGCUUCUUUCACUUGGCAAAGUAUCAUGAAGGGUUUGGAAACUUUCAAGCUAGGUAUAUAUGGCGUAUUGGUACAGGGGAAAAUAUAUGGCGUAUUGGUACAGGGGAAAAUGUAA
rnacentral:rRNA from 1 species